GCGCUGUAUGAAAGGAGAGAAAGCCCCCACUCAUUCCCCUUGAUGAGGAUGGAAGAGGCCCAUAGGCCGAACCGACACACAAAUAGUUAAGGCAUUGCCACCUACUUUGUGGCUUCUAACCACUGUGUUUU
ensembl:snRNA U6atac minor spliceosomal RNA